UGUUUCUCAGAGAAGAACAUAUAGUGAAAUGGGGCAGAGGCAUCCAUCCGUGGCUGAUGUCUGAAAUUUUCUGGCUCUAAACCGAAUUCCUUCCCAUCCUUUUAUCUUCACCUUUUCCAAAAGGAUUUACAAGUGCAAGAAAAUUACAGCCCCUCAUGAACCUGUCAACCACACCAUUGCACUAUUACAGGAGCUUUAACUGAGGCACCUUAUGGUGUUUGGGGAUCCAGCAUGAUAAAUAGCCCAUAUUCAAGGUUUUGUGAGAAGACCUAGUUCUAACAAUAACAGUCAGCCUCAUGUGGUUUAUUCAU